rnacentral:rRNA from 1 species
AUACGGAGGGAGCAAGCGUUUAUCGGAAUUACUGGGCCUAAAGCGCACGCAGGCGGUUUGUUAAAUCAGAAGUGAAAUCCCUAGGGUCAACCUGGGUAAUGCCUCUGAUACCGGCGAGUUCUAGUCUCGUUAACGGGGCUAGAAUUCCUGGUGUAGGGGUGAAAUGCGUAGAGAUCUGGAGGAAUACCGGUGGCGAAGGCGGCCCCCUGGACGAAGACUGACGCUCAGGUGCGAAAGCGUGGGGAGCAAACAGGAUUAGAUACCCUGGUAGUCCACGCCGUAAACGAUGUCGACUUGGUGGUUGUGCCCUUGAGGCGUGGCUUCCGGAGCUAACGCGUUAAGUCGACCGCCUGGGGAGUACGGCCGCAAGGUUAAAACUCAAAUGAAUUGACGGGG